ACAUGCAACUCUUACAGACGCCCGGGCUUCGGCCUGGUUAUUCAUAACCCUUUGUUGUCCGACUCUGUUGCCUCCGGGGCGACCCUGCCUUCGGGCGGGGGCUCCGGGUGGACACUUCAAACUCUUGCGUAACUUUGCAGUCUGAGUAAACUUAAUUAAUAAAUUAAAACUUUUAACAACGGAUCUCUUGGUUCUGGCAUCGAUGAAGAACGCAGCGAAAUGCGAUAAGUAAUGUGAAUUGCAGAAUUCAGUGAAUCAUCGAAUCUUUGAACGCACAUUGCGCCCCCUGGUAUUCCGGGGGGCAUGCCUGUUCGAGCGUCAUUUCACCACUCAAGCCUCGCUUGGUAUUGGGCAACGCGGUCCGCCGCGUGCCUCAAAUCGUCCGGCUGGGUCUUCUGUCCCCUAAGCGUUGUGGAAACUAUUCGCUAAAGGGUGUUCGGGAGGCUACGCCGUAAAACAACCCCAUUUCUAAGUGACCUCGGAUCAGGUAGGGAUACCCGCUGAACUUAAGCAUAUCAAAAGGCCGGAGGAA
rnacentral:rRNA from 1 species